GAAGAAAGGAGGGUGGGAGGCGGGCCUGAGGGACCAGCACUCCAGGGAGGCAGAGCUCCAGGACUGCUAGGACCCGGACCUCAGCGCUGUGGUCCCACGAGCCAGGCCCUGAGCCCCCGAGAAACCACAGGACCACCUCUCCCAGAGAGCAAGACGCCAAAUGGCAGGUGACACACUGAGCAUCCGUGCGGCCAGCUGCUCUCGUCGUGUGGGGAAGACCGGCGCUAUAUGGGAGGACUGACCGUGCCAGGGCUCGCCCCAGCAGGGUACAGCUCUCUCAACGGAGGUUCAGGACGGCCGUAUUAGUGCAACUGCUUUCAGGGUCUUCUGCAGCCACGGAUGGGGCAGGAGCUGGGCACAGUGCCAGCGGCGGUCCCGAUCAGAAAUGAUUUCCCAAUAAAGCUCCACUGCUUGUCACCACAGCAGACGGCUCGGAGAACAUGAGCCUCUCCACGAAGUUCAACUUUGAAACUUCCUCCAGGCCCACCAUGGCCUCCGCGUCUCACUGGUGACGCCGGGAUAGCUAGGAAAGGUGGGCCUGUCGGGGUGCAGGCCACUUCCAGAAGGUCCAGGUGCAAGGGGGGUGGGGGGGCAGCUGUCGGAAAGCAGGGCGGAGAGGAUGGGGGGCUUCCUGACGGGCGUGGGCAUCUGCCAUGCGCCUGGCGCAGGGUGGCCCCAGCUCUGUUCUCUGAGGAGGCAUCCCAGGCUGUCGGCCCUGGUGGUGAAGGGGUGGGGGAGGGGUUAAUCCCUAGCAGCCGGAUGAAACCAGAGGAGAAGCUCCCAAGAGGACGACUUUCGUAAGUCCUGAGGGCACCUGGUCCCCCAGGGCCUCUGUUCCACCAGUUGCCACAGGCCUGGCCUGGGGUCCAGGUCCCCUCUUCUGGCAGCCAAGGUAAAUGAGGCCCAUUGGGGUGGCUAAGGCCAAGGAGAGUGGGUGACCCUGCCCCCCUUCUGUGCCAGGCCCUGACAGUCAUCCAGGGCCCUGCACCACCAGGGGCUCCUGCCCUCAGGCCAGCCCAACCUCCUAGGUCCACCUGAGACCCUUCCCUGUUCCUGCCAUUCUCGGGCAGGGAGCUGGCCUUGCAAGGUCUGUAGAUGAAGGGGCUGGGAGAGGCUGGGAGGGGCGGGAGUGCCCCGGACGCGAAGGCCCCAGUGCUUGGUUCCGGCCCUGCCUAGAAUCUGCUGCUCACACAGGUGUCCCCACAGCUUCCUAGCAUGGCCCGGGCGCUGGGCACACACUAGCUGUCUGAGGCCUGGCGGGGCCUUCCUUUGCCUCGGGGAGGCCCGGCGACCCCAGACACAGCUGUUUGGGAGUCGUAAGUCAGCUGGCACCUGCAAUGUGCCAGACCCAGGAGCCCCUACAACCAGGAGCAGGCCCAGCCACAGGUCAACUCCUCCAGGGGCCCCCGAGACCACCUGCUACGGCAGCUCGGUUGGUUCACACACGUAGGGUCUGUUUUCCAGCAGUUGGGGGGCUCUGGGGGUGAGGACCCUGUCUUGUCCCCCUGGUGGUCUCAGCAUCUAGACCAGUCCCUGGCACCGGCGGGUGCGAACAUCCUGCCCCCACUCUGGAGGGCUGUACUGGCAGCUGACGAAGGGCGACCUCCGUGCCACAGGAGGACAGCUGCUCAUCUGGGUGGCCUCCACUCAGGGAUGGGGGCCCUGGGCUGGAGUGUGCUACGGGGUGGGAGGUGCCAGGACUGUGGGCUGGGAGGAGGCGGGACAGAGACGUGAAGAGGGGCUGAGGUGAGGUGGCUGGAACAGUGCUGUGGGAGCCCCUGCAAAAGGGGGUGCAGAACAGAGCCCCAAAGCUGCAGGGUCCCAGCACCCUGAGUGACAUCUGCUUGUGGCCCACGGAGAGGAGCUGCCUGCCACCCAGCCCCCCGCACACCCUGGCCUGGGAGGGUAGGGUCACCCCAGAGCCCACCCCAGGGCCCACCUCGUCCCACCUCAGAGCCCACAGGGCACAGGUUCUGCAGGGUCAGGGGUGGCCAAGGGUGCCUGGGCAUCUGCUGCCACCAAGUGGCAGAUCGAGUGGUGGCUCCAGGAGACGGCUGAGGCCCAGGGUAUCAGAAGAACUCUUCACAGGAGCCCCGCCCCCAGGCCCCAAGCCCAGGACCACGGCCAAUUACUGGACUUUGUCACCUCAUUUCUCCUUAAUUAAGGAAACCAGGUUCCUCCCUUUUGUAAGGACACAGCGAUGGUCCUGGGAAGGGCAGCUGGGGUCUGCAGAGCUGGGAGCUGAGGCUCAGGGCUGUUCUGGCAGCAGGGGCUUGGCAGCCGCGGGUGGGCUCUAACUGGGAGGGGGGCUGUGGCGGGGACCCCCUAGUGUGACUUCCUGCCCAGCUCCUCCUCCUCAGAGACCUCUGCAGACCCCAGGCCUGCGGGGUGACAGCGGUAGGAGGGGCCUCCGCGACCACACCCUCAUUAGCUGGAAAAUGGCUCCUUCAGGGCGAGUCCGCCUUCCCUUCAGCCCCACCUCUGUGGUGGAGGAACGAACCCCGGCCUCGGUGUCCCCAAAGGUUGGGGUCAGGACCCCUGCUCUGAUAGUGUCACAAAGGGGAGGUCACCUCA